CAGAGGGUGUGAGCGUUAAUCGGAUUUACUGGGCGUAAAGCGUGAGUAGGUGGCUCGCCAAGUCGAUUGUGAAAGCCCUGGGCUCAACCUGGGAAUUGCAGUCGAUACUGGUGAACUAGAGUUCGGUAGAGGGUGACGGAAUUCCCGGUGUAGCGGUGAAAUGCGUAGAUAUCGGGAGGAACAUCGAUGGCGAAGGCAAUCACCUGGGCCUGAACUGACACUGAGACACGAAAGCGUGGGUAGCAAACAGGAUUAGAUACCCUGGUAGUCCACGCCGUAAACGAUGGGAACCUGACGUCGGUUUGCUCUGCGAAUCGGUGUCGUAGCUAACGCGCUAAGUUCCCCGCCUGGGGAGUACGGCCGCAAGGUUG
rnacentral:rRNA from 1 species